UACGUAGGGUGCGAGCGUUUGUCCGGAAUUAUUGGGCGUAAAGAGCUUGUAGGUGGUUUGUCGCGUCUGCUGUGAAAAUCCGAGGCUCAACCUCGGACUUGCAGUGGGUACGGGCAGACUAGAGUGUGGUAGGGGAGACUGGAAUUCCUGGUGUAGCGGUGGAAUGCGCAGAUAUCAGGAGGAACACCGAUGGCGAAGGCAGGUCUC
rnacentral:rRNA from 1 species